UAAUUAAAAAAGGAAAAGGGCCCACCCUUUAAACCUUGUCUCACCCUCAAAGUUUCGUGAGUCCUAUAUUGUUGUUCAUCAUCUUUUUCCCAUCUUCCAGCCGCCACUUAUCUCCGCCUCUAUUCCUUUCAUCGGGAGUUUAACCCACAAAUAUUCCAGAUCAUGGGUGCACCACCAUCAAAACCAUGCUUCUGUAUCACCUUUCUCUCCCCAUAUAUGUCAUCGAUCCAUCUCAAUCUCAUCGUCUCUGGAAAAAUGUUAACCACGAUGUCGUCACCAGAAAAUGUGAACCAGGAAAAAUCAGCACCGCCUUUCUCAUUCUUUCUCCUUAGUCUUCAUCGACUCCAUCUCCAUCUUAUACCUAAUGAACCAUGGACCAGGAAGUCAAUGCUUAGGGACUUAGGGUUUGUUGAACCGAUCUUGCAUAAGGUGUAUCUGGUUUGUUUAUCGAUCUUGUAUUGGUGUAUUGCAUCUGGGUUCACGAUUCUAGGACACUUCUGGGAUAAAAAUCAAAUUUGAGUAUACGUUCUGGGUAAUUCUAACACCGGUGGGAGGUGGUUAAGCCGGUUGUGGUUAAUGACAGCGGAAGGUGAUUAAGGGAGGCGAUUUCUUCUCAAUCGCUCAUCUUCCAGUAAAUUUAACCCCACCGCUGCCAUCUUUCAACUUCGACGGAAACCACAACCAUCUUUCAACUUCGACGGAAACCACCACCAUCUACCGGUAAACAUAACACCAUUGCUAACAUCCCUUUUUCUUCUUCUUCCCUCUCAACAUCCAAACUCUGACUCUCGACUUUUUAGGUGGGUUUCAUGGCGGUAACUGAGUUUGGGGGUUUGAUUUGGUUAAGGUUUUUUGUUUUUUAAGAUUUGAUUUUGGUUUGAUUUUUAGAAAGGUUAGUUGAUUUUCAGGUUUGGAGUUAGAUUGCAGUUUAAGGUUUUAUUUGGGUGGUGUUAUAGGUUGUGGAUCUAUUUUCCAGUGGCCAGUGUUGGUUGUCGGUAGCUGAUGGUGGCCAAUGGUCGGAGUGAUUAGAGUGGGAGGUGGAGUGGGAGUGCAAGUGGUCCCACCUAUCAAUAAAUCGAAUAAUUUGUUUUCUUUAAAUAAAAAAUAAAAAAAUUAACAAGGGUAUUAUAAUCAUUUCUUAUCGGACAGGGACUUACGCGGUAACAAAAUCAAAAUCUAAGGACAGUCCGAGUGCAAAAAAAAAAAAGAAUGGACCAAACACGUAAUUUUUGACAAACCGACGAUUUCAGUAAUUUGUUCUAAACAAAUAUAUGAAAGUGCAUAUGUAUUAUUUUCAUUUAAACCCAGAAAAAAGGGGAGCAACAACGGUAGGGGCAUGUCUUGAAAUUAGAAAGUUCUUUUUAUAACAUAUAUAAUUUCUUUAUUUUAUUAACUUAUAGGAAUAUGACCUGCGAUGGUAAUUACCUUUUUAUCUUGCUCACGUUUAGGUAAUUUCAUUUUUUUUAUCCAUUUGACCAUUUAACUUGUUAAAUAUGUUCACAGGUGGCAAUGGUAAUAUGUGAAUAUAUUUAACAAAUUAAAUUGUCAAAUAUAUAUAAAAAAACAAAGUUGUCUAAAUGUGAAUAGUUUUUUUUUUACAAAUUUCUUAAAUUUUUUAUAAUUUCUUACAACAUUUUUAUGAUAUUUUUUCACAUUCUUUUUUUUUUUACAAAUUUUUUACAACAUUUUUAUGAUAUUUUUUUUUUCUUAUAAAUUUUUCUAAUACAAUGUUUUAAACUUUGUUUAUAUUUUUUUUUCGACUUUUUUUAUAUUUUCAUAUAAUUUUAAUACAAGUGUUUUUAAACCAAAUAUUUUAUAACUGUUUUAGAAUUCUCUUACAAGUUUUUUACUUUUUAUUUUAUUUUAUUAUUUUUUUUUAACAUUGUCAUUCAAUUUUUCUAUAACUUUCAUACAUUUAUUUCUAAACUUUCUUUACAAUAUUUUUAAAGUGUUUCAAAGAUUUUGUAUGACAAUUUAAUAUUUUUUAUAACAUUUUGAAAUACUUUCGUUAAAUACUAGUUUAAAACAUUGUAUUAAAAAAAUUAAAAGUUUAUAAACUUCUAAGUAAAAGUAUUAAAAAGUUGGAAUAAUUUGUAACGCCCCGAUUCUCAUGUAUUGUUCAAUUAUAGUUUCUAGGUUUUGGCCCUACUCGACGAGUUGGUUGCCCUACUCGUCGAGUAGCAGCGGGAUUGGAUCGCAAAUUAAGUGACUGACUCGGCGAGUCCACUAGUGGGACUCGGCGAGUCCACUAGUGGGACUCGGCGAGUAGGAGCUGGCAAGUGAAACCCUAAUCCCCGGGGUUUGUGUCCCUAUUCAAAGGAGCCUUAGCCUCCUUUGGGCCUCUUUACAGUCUUAGAGAGUCCCUGAAAGGUCUGAUUCGAGUGUGUGUGCUUUGGUGAGUGUGUGAAGCUUGAUUUGAAGAUUUUGGAAGGAGAAGGCUUGAAGGAAGAGGAGGUAGGAGCAAGUAAGGUAGGGAAAUCAUCACUAUUCUCAGUUUUCAUCUUCCAGAGGUAUCCUCAAUCACCAUCUUUUCUGUGAGUUUCCUUUCUAUGAAGUUCUAGGGUUUUCUUUGGACUUUAAGGGUUGAUAAAUUGAACAAUGAGUUGGAUCUGAAGUUGUAAUUUCAGAUCUGAACCCUCCCUAAGCUCCAGCAACAUAAAGUCACAGAAUUGAUCAUGUAUGAGGUCCCUCAUGGGCAUGAAGCCCCAUUAAGAGCUUAGAUUUGGCAUUUAGAGCCUUAAAAGCAAUGCAUGUACGUAAAGUUUGUGACUUUACGCGAUACGUAUGCCAUAGAAGCUAGAUCUAUGAAUUGGAGCCACCGCAUGGACCAGAAUAAGUCUAUAUGGAAAAAGGACCGAACGGACUCAGGGAAUCACAAGGAUGACUCGGCGAGUCUAAUGAAGAAAGCCAUGAACUCGACGAGUUGGAUGAACAACCCGGCGAGUCCGAUGAAGAUCGUCAUGAAACUUGGCGAGUUGAUGAACAACUCGGCGAGUCGGAUGAACUUCCCCCAAAGAUAUGAACACAUAUGUACCCGUCGAGUUUUGCUUAGGAAACCCGACGAGUGGCUUUAGAGUUCAGUCGAAAAACAAGGGAAACUCGACAAGUCACUCAAUGACUCGGUGAGUGCACCGGAAGCCAAGGAAACUCAGCGAGUAGCCGAGGGAACUCGGCAAGUCAGGUCAACAUGGACUAUUGACCUUGACUGUUGACUUUGACCAUUGACCCAGGUUGAUCUGUUGACUUUUGAGGACAGUUCUAGAUGAAUCAGAAACUUACAUAUACAACUCGUGAUGAAUAUAGGUGGUGAAGUUCGUGAUAGUGACCUGAGGGUUGGAGCUUAUUUCUGUGAGUCGACGUUGCAAGGUGAGUUAUCCUCACUAUACUAAGGGGUCUAAGGCACCAAGGCCGACCCAUUGGAUUUGAUAUCCUAGUAGUUAUUGUUAUGUUGAGUCUGAGUUAGUGAUGCAUGCCAAUUGAUGUGCUAGUCGGGUAGAUCUAUAGGACUGCUGGUGAUACUGAUUGAUUACCUGUAUGUGUAUUUAUCUGUUACAUGUCGACAUGUUAUGUGGGGUGGGUUGAAGCUGUACUGCUCCGUGCGGUAGCCAACAAACCCGAGAGUAUUCCAGAUAUGAUUUGAGGGCCCGGUAGGCAUUCCAGACUCAUACUGAGGACUCGAGAGCAUUCCAGAUAUGAGCUGAGGGCCCGAUAGGCAUUCCAGACUCGUACUGAGGGCUCGAUGGCAUUCCAGAUACAAGCUGAUGGCCUGGUAGGCAUUCCAGACUCGUACUGAGGGCCUAGGGGUAGUCCAGCUUGUAAAGCUGUGGACCCAGUGCAUGAUGUUCUGUUUUUAUUGAUAUAAUCUGCUAAUGUUGAUAUUGCUAUGUGAACUGUAUGUGUAUCGGUAUUUUGGGGUAACUCACUAAGCUUUCAGGCUUACAGUUUCAGUUUAUUGUUUCAGGUACCUCAGGGGAUCGCGGCAAGGCCAAGGCGUGAUCGUACAGCUCCUCCUAUUAUGUUAUGUUUCUGAGAAAAGACUAUGAUAAUCAAUGUUUUGAAAACAAAGUUGUAAUAUAUUGAUGAACUUGACAUGUUUUUAAAAGUUUAAAUUUAUUUGAAAUUUUGAAUGUUACAAGUUGGUAUCAGAGCCUUGGUUUGAGUGAAUAGGAGGAACAUUCGUGUGAAUCCAGUCCCAAAUCAAGGAACGGUUUUCAAAAAUGUUUUAAGAAAAAUGGUUUUCAAAAUAAAUAAGGAGGUGAUGGGUGUACGAUUAGUCGGAGCCAGUAAGCAAACCCCAAAAUACCAUACAGUUAUUUGAUUAUGUGAUAUAUUAGAACAGCAUGCUAGUACUAGGCUAGGGAUCUUCAGGAAUUGCAUGAUAAAAUUGCCUGAUUACGUGGUGCCUGCUAGCCUAGGGUUUCCUUUACAUGAAAUUGACAUCAUUACUGUAGUGAUUUAGUGUAUGCAUCACGGUUGUACAUAAUUAAGACCUUAUAGCCUAAGAAUGUCUUAUUUAGCCUUAUGUUCUGUUCUUGUUUGAUUUGGGGCUUAGGGUAGAAUUGAAUAUUCAAAAGUCUAUCGGGUCUAGCGUUAUGUAUGGCUAGCAUGCACUAGUGCUGCAGGGUUGGUGGAAAUUUCGUGAGUGGGUAGGUUGUUGGGAUAAGUCCACCGACUUCGAGUCGUUUAGCAUUUCCUUUAGAAAUAAGGCUUGAGUGCUCGAUGUGAUUAUAUAUAUUGUUAGAGCGUUGUGGUGAUACUUGGAACAAAUAUGGGUAGGUGUGGAAGGUAGUAUGGGCCCGUACUACUGAAAGCACAGGACCCAUAUGCAUGACAAGGAAGUCAUAACUCCCAGGGUUUUGUUGGGGGUUGGUCCCUAGUUAUUGUGUAUGAAGUUAUUUAAUACCUUGUGUUGUGUUUCAGAAUGGUGAUGAACAGGCGCUUUGUGAUUGGAUCCGAGUCAGGAUCAGGAUCGGGAUCAGGAGAGGGCGGACAAGGGGAGCUGACAGCACCCGAGACGAUCGGCCAAAUGAGGCCGGAUGAGAUGGACGAGAGGAUUCGAGAAAUCCUGCAUGACGAGGUUGCUGCCAUGUUCCAGGCCGAAUUUCCGGAAAUGUUCGGGUCAAUUAAGACCGCUAUGGUGUAGUAUUUCGAUGAGCGUUACGUAGCCCUCACAGAGACAGCUGCCGCAACAACUGCAUUAGCUGUAACUACGGUAGGAGGAGGAGUUGGUAGGGGUUUUCAGUACCGGGACUUCGACAACACGAAGCCCCCUAAUUUUGAUGGGACACAGGAUCCCUUCAAGGCUAUGAGAUGGAUUUAAGAUGUGGAGGGGUGUUUCUUCACCUGCUCGUGUGCUACUGACCAAAAGAUCAUGUGUGCUCUUAACCUGCUUAGGUCCGGAGCCAAGGAUUGGUGGAGACUUGCGACUGGGGCUUAUACUGAUGAUCAGAGACCUGCUGUUACUUGGGAGAAGUUUCGGGAUAUGUUAUGCGCUCGUUACAUUCCGAGGGUUGAGCGGGAACGUUUGGCACAGGCGUUUCUGAGUCUGAGGCAAGAUGGAGAGUCGGUGACGGAGAUCACCCGUAUGUUCACUGAGAGGGCGAUGUUCUGCCCAGAGUUUGCUUCCGAGCAGUCUCAGAUGACCCGUUAUCUGAGUAUGCUCAAGACUGAUAUCCUACAGUUCGUAUCCACCCAACGAUGUGAUACUCUUCUAGAGUUAUAGGAGGCCGCCAGAUGGCAGGAGUUGGAGAUUGAGCUGCAGUUGAGGGAGCAGCGGCCGGCCUCGGUACUGUCAUAGCCGGCGCCGAAGCGGCCUAAGACCGCUGAUGCUAGGACCAGGGGUCAACAGGGCCGCACUUGUGGGAAGUGUGACAAGGGUCAUUCUGGGGUGUGUCGGGCUGGUAGUGGGUGCCACAAAUGUGGCAAGGAGGGGCAUUACGUGAAGGAUUGUCGCCAGACUGCCACAGUUCAGGGGAUGAGGUUAUGUUAUCAUUGCAACCAGGUCGGCCACAUAAGGGCCAACUGCCCACUACUUGCCGCCAAGCCGGUGCAGGCUGCAGCGCCGGCUACUUUGAGGAUCACAGACGGGAGACCAGAAAGGACAGAGCCUCCGAAGGCUCAGGGUCGUGCUUUCCAGCUUACGGCAGAGGAGGACAAAGCAGCAGCAUAUGUGGUUGUUGGUAUGUUUCUAUCCUCACCUUGUUUUAUUUAUAUGUUAUAUGCUUAUCUGUUGUACCUAUAAUUAGGUACAUUUUUGGUGAAUUCUUUGCCUGCUUUGGUCUUAUUUGACUCGGGGGCGAGUCGGUCUUUCGUGUCUCAGUCUUUUAGUAGGGAGUUCAGUACGCCUGUGGGCGAGUUAGAGUGUCUGUUGCGAUUGUCUAUCGCUAAUGAACAUGGGGUUUCUUCUUCUUCAAUUUAUCGAGGAUGUGACUUAGAGAUUUUCGGAGUGUCUUUUCUAAUAGACUUGAUCCUGAUUCCCAUGGGGGAGGUGUGCAUGAUUGUGGGCAUGGAUUGGCUCAGUAUGUUCAGUGCUAUGAUUGAUUGUGAGGGUCAGCGAGUGGUAGUUCGAACCCCUAGUGGGGAAGAACUGGUUAUAUAUGGUGAGGGCACCAGAGUAGGCUCAGGUUUUUGCUCAGCUGCUAGGGCUCGGCAGUACAUUCAGCAUGGGUGUAUGAGUUAUCUAGCGUACGUGGUAGAUACGCGAGCCAGGGACCGGAUUUCGGUCUCCGAUGUACCAGUAGUCAGGGAGUUCGCAGAUGUGUUUCCAGAGGAGUUGCCAGGGAUACCUCCGGAGAGGAAGGUCGAGUUCAGGAUCGACCUGGUGCCAGGUGCGGGCCCUAUCUCUAAGGCGCCGUACCGAUUGGCGCCGCCUGAGAUGCAGGAACUUUCGUUGCAGUUGCAGGAACUGUGGGGCAAGCAUUUCAUUCGACCUAGCAGUUAUCCAUGGGGAGCGUCGAUUCUUUUCGUCCGGAGGAGUUAAACAAGCUAACGGUGAAGAACCGUUAUCCACUCCCGAGGAUAGACGACCUCUUUGAUCAACUGCAGGGCGCAUCUUGGUUUUCCAAGAUCGAUUUGAGGUCCGGGUACCACCAGGUCAGGGUCAGGGAGGAGGACGUGGAGAAGACCGCAUUCCAAACUCGUUAUGGACAUUACGAGUUCGUGGUGAUAUCGUUUGGGCUCACCAACGCGCCAACAAUGUUUAUGGACCUGAUGAAUUGGGUCUGCAAACCGAUGCUCGACCGUUCGGUCAUAGUGUUUAUAGAUGAUAUCUUGGUGUAUUCCAAGACCCGAGAGCAGCAUGAGGAGCAUCUACGAGAGCUGUUGGGGGUCCUGAGGCGGGAACAACUGUACGCCAAGUUCUCGAAAUGUGAGUUUUGGUUACGAGAGGUCCAGUUCCUUGGACAUCUCGUUAACCAAGAAGGGAUUUUGGUCGAUCCGGCCAAGAUCGAGGCGGUUAUGCAGUGGGAAGUUCCGAAAUCCCCCUCAGAUAUUAGGAGCUUUUUGGGAUUGGCAGGAUACUACCGGAGAUUCAUAUGGGAUUUAUCUUAGAUUGUAGUACCCCUCACUCGUCUCACGAGGAAAGGGGUGGAUUUUCGGUGGGGUCCUAAACAGCAGGGAGCGUUUGAGACGCUUCGUCAGCGUCUGUGUGAGGCGCCAGUCCUGAAACUCCCGGUGGGAGUUGAGGAUUUUGUAGUGUUCUAUGAUGCCUCCAUCACAGGGUUAGGGGCGAUUCUCAUGCAGAGAUGACGAGUGAUAGCCUACGCAUCUCGGCAGCUGAAACCGCACGAGACUCGAUACCCUACACACGAUUUGGAGCUAGGGGCAGUGGUG
rnacentral:lncRNA from 1 species